CCUACGGGAGGCAGCAGUGGGGAAUAUUGCACAAUGGGGGAAACCCUGAUGCAGCGACGCCGCGUGAGUGAAUAAGCGUUUCGGCGCGGAAAGCUCUGUCAGCGGGGAAGAAACACGGUUCGCGAGAGCCGCGGACGGUACCCGACCGAGAAGCCCCGGCUAAAUACGGGCAAGCAGCCGCGGUAAUACUCAGGGGGCAACAGUUAUCCGGCUUCACUGUGGGUAAAGGGGGCGUGAGCGGCGCGACAAUUCUUGAGGGAAAGGCUGGGGGCCCACCCCGGGCCUGCUCUGGAAACUGCGUGGCUGGAGUACAGGAGAGGUAAGUGGAAUUCCUGGUGUAGCGGUGAAAUGCGUAGAUAUUAGGAGGAACCCCAGUGGCGAAGGCGGCUUACUGGACUGUAACUGACGUUGAGGCUCGAAAGCGUGGGGAGCAAACAGGAUUAGAUACCCUUGUAGUC
rnacentral:rRNA from 1 species